rfam:Rhizopogon vinicolor AM-OR11-026 unplaced genomic scaffold K503scaffold_166, whole genome shotgun sequence.
GGCCGCCUGGCGAAAUGGCAUCGCGUCUGACUACGAUCCCGUGAUCAGGAGAUUGCAGGUUCGACCCCUGCGGUGGUCA